CAGACACAGGAUAGCAAAUUUGAUAAAAGUGGAAAUUCAGUAAAAAACAAAGUAUAUGGUUAUAUGGUUGCGCAGGAUUUGGGAAAUUACAUACAGUACCAGGGGAAAUUGCAUAAUACGAAAAUAUGUUUAGCAUGCGUGACAAUUGGUAAAUUAAUUCACACAAAUGAAAUGCGGUCUAUAUUAACGAAAUUAAUUUCACAAACGCGAGUGCGAAUCGGCGCUGCCACGUGCAUUAUUGCAGGAACAGGGCCGUUUCCACAACAGAUGGCUCGACUGUAAGACGAAACCAAGGCAUUUGGUGUUACAUGGAUCUCCCGACUUAAAAAGCCCAUAAACACUGACCAAAGGAAACAUUGACAGAGCCCCUAACAUAGAGCCAAGCUGCACUACAGCUCCACACCACACAAGGGCGCUGUGGCCUUCAUCUCGCAGGAUCACCCCAAUAAUGACCUUCACGUAGGACAAGGUCAUGAUGGAUCAGUAGAGGGCAAGGGCUAAGUGCUGCCACAGCCAUUAUAUAUGCCCCAAAUCCUGUGCCAGUCACUGUUAAAACCCCCAUGAGCACCAGAGACCUUAAACAUCAGAAGAAAGAUCAGUCAAACUA